GCCCAGCUGGCUCAAUCAGUAGAGCAUGUGACUCUUGAUCUCGGGUUGUGAGUUUGAGUUUCACACUGGGGG
rnacentral:tRNA from 1 species